AAGUCAUCUACACCUAGCACACAUAAUCGACCCUGGCAACGUAACACACCAUCUCCUUCUUGGGAGAUAACCUCUAAUUUUUUAUCUUCAACUUACUUUUUCAGCUUAACUAGACUGGUAUCUCUGCCCUACUUUUCCUUUACUCUAGAAACCAGAGAUGAUUCUGAUCUACUCUGUACCCACACACUACCCUCUGCUGAAUCGACCAAUCGGACACUUAGUCAAGAAAGAUGAUGAACUUCCUGAAAUAACUUCUU
rnacentral:lncRNA from 1 species